CCUCAAGUGAUGUGUGACUA
rnacentral:rRNA from 1 species